GAUGAACGCUGGCGGCGUGCCUAAUACAUGCAAGUCGAGCGAACGGACGAGAAGCUUGCUUCUCUGAUGUUAGCGGCGGACGGGUGAGUAACACGUGGAUAACCUACCUAUAAGACUGGGAUAACUUCGGGAAACCGGAGCUAAUACCGGAUAAUAUUUUGAACCGCAUGGUUCAAAAGUGAAAGACGGUCUUGCUGUCACUUAUAGAUGGAUCCGCGCUGCAUUAGCUAGUUGGUAAGGUAACGGCUUACCAAGGCAACGAUGCAUAGCCGACCUGAGAGUGUGAUCGGCCACACUGGAACUGAGACACGGUCCAGACUCCUACGGGAGGCAGCAGUAGGGAAUCUUCCGCAAUGGGCGAAAGCCUGACGGAGCAACGCCGCGUGGGUGAUGAAGGUCUUCGGAUCGUAAAACUCUGUUAUUAGGGAAGAACAUAUGUGUAAGUAACUGUGCACAUCUUGACGGUACCUAAUCAGAAAGCCACGGCUAACUACAU
rnacentral:rRNA from 1 species